GACGAACGCUGGCGGCGUGCUUAACACAUGCGAGUCGAACGGAAAGGCCCUGCUUUUGUGGGGUGCUCGAGUGGCGAACGGGUGAGUAACACGUGAGUAACCUGCCCUUGACUUUGGGAUAACUUCAGGAAACUGGGGCUAAUACCGGAUAGGAGCUCCUGCUCCAUGGUGGGGGUUGGAAAGUUUCGGCGGUUGGGGAUGGAUUCGCGGCUUAUCAGCUUGUUGGUGGGGUAGUGGCUUACCAAGGCUUAGACGGGUAGCCGGCAUGAGAGGGUGACCGGCCACAUUGGGACUGAGAUACGGACCAGACGCCUACGGGAGGCAGCAGGGGGGAAUAUUGCACAGUGGGCGGAAGCCUGAUGCAGCAACGCCGCGGGCGGGAUGACGGCCUGCGGGGUGUAAACCGCUUUCGCCUGUGACGAAGCGUGAGUGACGGUAAUGGGUAAAGAAGCACCGGCUAACUACGUG
rnacentral:rRNA from 1 species